UUUCGCUGAUUUGUUUUCCUUCUUCUCUCUCUGCUUUCUCCUUCGCCACUUCGCUAUCGAAUCACAGAGAUGCCGAUCGGUCCCUCGCCGUCGACCUCGUCGUCUCCUCGAUCCAUAAUCGGCCUGCGUUCCUACUUUCCCCCCUCAGAUUUGUAGAUCGUAUGCAUCUGGCGGAAGCUCCUAGUCGACUACAUCAUUGGCUUCUUUUGGCGGCUUGCAUUUGAAGAAAACAGAACUGAUCUACUCGAAUCUGAUGCAUCCGGAAAAGAGAAAGCACAAUCGCUCAGUACAACACAGUUCUUCCACUAUCGGCGGCACGUCUCGGCCUGCAGAGCACAAACUGCAUGGAGGCAUCUGCAGUGAAGGUACAGUACGUUGAGGUAUGAUGCAAACGCGGACUAUGAGCUUCCAACUUUAAUUUGUCUUAAUUGCAUUCUUAAAUUCUUAAUUAAUUAUUAGCUGCAUAGAUUAAUUGCAAAUGAACUGUGGAGGCUGCAUAACGAAAUCGCUAAUUAGUAAUGGAAAUAAAGUUUGGUUGGCAAUCGAAAUUGGAGCGACUGAAAUAUUAGUUCGCUAAUUUGUGUUCUCCUUACUUAUUGUGACACAUAGGGAAAAAAAAAAUCUAAAUACUCUGACUAACAUUAUGAAAUUAUUGGGAUUUAUUUUUCCAUAAAGAGAGCAAGGAUAAAAUUAUU